GCCGCCGCGGUAAUACGUAGGUGGCGAGCGUUGUCCGGAUUUACUGGGCGUAAAGGGAGCGUAGGCGGACUUUUAAGUGAGAUGUGAAAUACCCGGGCUCAACUUGGGUGCUGCAUUUCAAACUGGAAGUCUAGAGUGCAGGAGAGGAGAAUGGAAUUCCUAGUGUAGCGGUGAAAUGCGUAGAGAUUAGGAAGAACACCAGUGGCGAAGGCGAUUCUCUGGACUGUAACUGACGCUGAGGCUCGAAAGCGUGGGGAGCAAACAGGAUUAGAUACCCC
rnacentral:rRNA from 1 species